rnacentral:rRNA from 1 species
AUUGAACGCUGGCGGCAUGCCUAACACAUGCAAGUCGAGCGGAUGAAGGGAGCUUGCUCCUGGAUUCAGCGGCGGACGGGUGAGUAAUGCCUAGGAAGCUGCCUUGUAUUGGGGGAUAACGUCCGGAAACGGGCGCUAAUACCGCAUACGUCCUGAGAGAGAAAGUGGGGGAUCUUCGGACCUCACGCUAUCAGAUGAGACUAGGUCGUAUUAGCUAGUUGGUGGGGUAAAGGCCUACCAAGGCGACGAUCCGUAACUGGUCUGAGAGGAUGAUCAGUCACACUGGAACUGAGACACGGUCCAGACUCCUACGGGAGGCAGCAGUGGGGAAUAUUGGACAAUGGGCGAAAGCCUGAUCCAGCAAUGCCGCGUGUGUGAAGAAGGUCUUCGGAUUGUAAAGCACUUUAAGUUGGGAGGAAGGGAAGUAAGUUAAUACCUUGCUGUUUUGACGUUACCAACAGAAUAAGCACCGGCUAACUUCGUG